AGAGAAUUGACCGAGUGGUUUAAGGUGAUAAGCUUGAAACUUAUUUGGUUUUAUAGAUCGCAUCCGUUCGAAUCGGAUAUUCUCUG
rfam:Genlisea aurea contig_16144, whole genome shotgun sequence.